CAUAGACUCCCUACGUUCGGAAAUAAUUGUCGGAGAAAUGAAUGUAUCUGAACGUAUUUUAGUUCUAAAUGCAUUCACUUUUAUCCAUUUGUGCGACAAGUAAUUCCGAACGAAGAGAAUAUAUU
rnacentral:pre_miRNA from 1 species